AGCAGCUAAGGUAUCCAUUCCCUGAGGGGAAAAAAGGCUGUUUGGAGCUGUUAGCAAUCUAGGAGGAGAAAGAAACUCUGUCCAAAUCGCACAAAGGGACCAGGAGAGAGAAACCACCCGCACAGAAUGUGAAAUGUAGUGAUUCAAUAAUUCUAAACAUUAUUUGAUGCCCACCAUGAUUUUAUUUUUAAGCAUUCUCUACACCCAAUGUGGGGCUCAAACUCACAACCCCAAGAUCGAGAGUCACAUGCUGUACUGACUGAGCCAGGUAGGUGCCCCCCUGACUUAUU